rnacentral:sRNA from 1 species
GCUUGAUACGUCCGCCAUUUUGGGCGCUUCGCUGAUGGUGUCGGUGAGCGCGUUUCCCGCCUGAGCGCAACUAGCGGCGGGUCGUGGGCACCUCCAGAUAAGAAAACAAGCUCAGAGAGAUGUGGUGACUUGCUCAAAUAGUGACAGAACUUCCUCGGCCAUAUGGAGGGGUCAUAUAAUACCCUUGUGUCUUCAGUUUGAGGAGAGCUUGUUUCAUAUCCAUAUCCCACUUUAUUCCUGCUAAUCUGCUAAUGCAGUAAAUUGGAGGAAAACUGUUACCAGGAUAACCUGUAAUGGGCAAGGAGCCACAAAGAAGAAAACAUUUCUUUUAAUUUUUAAACUUGGUUUGAAAGAAAAAUUUCGUUCUUUGCCCUGUGCUCAGAAAAUCACAAUAAAACUUCACCACAUCAACCUGCUGUGGGAUAGGGCAAACUGGGAUGGUUAAGUCCAUGAGUGCAUGAAGUUUACUGUUGGUGCUACUGGUUCAGUAACAGGUGAUGAAUUUCAAAAGUCUCCAGAUGCCUGCUGGCGAAUAAUUAAAGAAUAACUACCAGCAUGUU